rnacentral:lncRNA from 10 species
GAAAAACAGAAUUAAGCAUUGUAGUGAAUAAUUCAGUGGGAUUUGGUGCCUUCACGGUGCUGUGCUGCUGUCACCUCUAAUUCCAGGAUAUUCCCAUCAUCCUUUGUGGUUGGGGCAUCAUCUGUCACUCCCCAUCCCCUCCCCAUCCCUGAGAAUCCAUGCAUCCCCUUCCUGUCUCUGUGGCUUGGUCUGUCUGUCCUGGACAUUUCUUUUUUUCUUUUUGUUGUUGUUGUUGGUUUUGUUUGUUUGUUUGUUGUUUGUGGGUUUUUUUUGAGACGGAGUCUCGC